rnacentral:rRNA from 1 species
UACGUAGGGUGCGAGCGUUGUCCGGAAUUACUGGGCGUAAAGAGCUCGUAGGUGGUUUGUCGCGUUGUUCGUGAAAACUCACAGCUUAACUGUGGGCGUGCGGGCGAUACGGGCAGACUGGAGUACUGCAGGGGAGACUGGAAUUCCUGGUGUAGCGGUGGAAUGCGCAGAUAUCAGGAGGAACACCGGUGGCGAAGGCGGAUCUCUGGGCCAUAACUGACGCUGAGGAGCGAAAGCAUGGGGAGCGAACAGG